GAUGAACGCUAGCGGCAGGCUUUAUACAUGCAAGUCGAACGGUAACAGGCCCGGCAACGGGUGCUGACGAGUGGCGCACGGGUGCGUAACACGUAUGCAACCUACCCUUAACCGGGACAUAACACUGAGAAAUUAGUGCUAAUAUUCCAUGGUAUUACGAAGAGGCUUCUUUUUGUAAUUAAAGAUUUAUUGGUUAGGGAUGGGCAUGCGUCCCAUUAGUUAGUUGGAGUGGUAACGGCACACCAAGACGAUGAGGGGUAGGGGUCCUGAGAGGGGUAUCCCCCACACUGGGACUGAGACACGGACCAGACUCCUACGGGAGGCAGCAGUAAGGAAUAUUGGGCAAUGGGCGGGAGCCUGACCCAGCCAUGCCGCGUGCAGGAAGACGGCCCUAUGGGUUGUAAACUGCUUUUGUUUGGGACUAACAGCCGGGUCGUGACCCGGCCUGCAGGUACCGAAUGAAUAAGCAUCGGCUAACUCCGUGCCAGCAGCCGCGGUAAUAC
rnacentral:rRNA from 1 species